CUUUGGGGUGUGACUGCGUACCUUUUGUAUAAUGGGUCAGCGACUUAUAUUCUGUAGCAAGGUUAACCGAAUAGGGGAGCCGGAGGGAAACCGAGUCUUAACCGGGCGUUAAGUUGCAGGGUAUAGACCCGAAACCCGGUGAUCUAGCCAUGGGCAGGUUGAAGGUUGGGUAACACUAACUGGAGGACCGAACCGACUAAUGUUGAAAAAUUAGCGGAUGACCUGUGGCUGGGGGUGAAAGGCCAAUCAAACCGGGAGAUAGCUGGUUCUCCCCGAAAGCUAUUUAGGUAGCGCCUCGUGAAUUCAUCUCCGGGGGUAGAGCACUGUUUCGGCUAGGGGGCCAUCCCGGCUUACCAACCCGAUGCAAACUGCGAAUACCGGAGAAUGUUAUCACGGGAGACACACGGCGGGUGCUAACGUCCGUCGUGAAGAGGGAAACAACCCAGACCGCCAGCUAAGGUCCCAAAGUCAUGGUUAAGUGGGAAACGAUGUGGGAAGGCCCAGACAGCCAGGAUGUUGGCUUAGAAGCAGCCAUCAUUUAAAGAAAGCGUAAUAGCUCACUGGUCGAGUCGGCCUGCGCGGAAGAUGUAACGGGGCUAAACCAUGCACCGAAGCUGCGGCAGCGACGCUGAUGCGUUGUUGGGUAGGGGAGCGUUCUGUAAGCCUGCGAAGGUGGCCUGUGAGGGUUGCUGGAGGUAUCAGAAGUGCGAAUGCUGACAUAAGUAACGAUAAAGCGGGUGAAAAGCCCGCUCGCCGGAAGACCAAGGGUUCCUGUCCAACGUUAAUCGGGGCAGGGUGAGUCGACCCCUAAGGCGAGGCCGAAAGGCGUAGUCGAUGGGAAACGGGUUAAUAUUCCCGUACUUGGUGUUACUGCGAAGGGGGGACGGAGAAGGCUA
rnacentral:rRNA from 1 species